GUUAACUGCACGCCCUCGUUUGUUAGCAGGAAAUAUGCAAUAAACGGAAUUUUUACUCAUUCUUUAUAUAUGUGCGUUUUGGGGAGACUGCCGCAGCAGAUAUAUGAAAUUAUGCACUUUUAAAUAACUUUUAGCAAUGUAUUUUUAAUUAAUUAACCAUCUAAAAUGUUCAUAUAAAUCAUUCAUUUGCACGAGUGGUCAGAUAAAUGUGGUCGGCUAAUUAUUGCGUUUUUAAUAGGAGGACAUGUUUGUUUUUGUUUUUAUAAUCAAUAUAAUAUUCUCUACGUUUAGAUCCGAGGAACAAUUACAUUUCAUUUUUGCUUUUUUUCUCAUUUUGAAAUGAAAAUGCUGCGUAUUUAAUUAAUUACAAAAAUUAAUUGAUUUUGUUUAGGACUGCUGUUGGUAUUUUCAUUGAUUUACUCCCUUUUUCACUUUAAUUUAUUUCAAGACAAAGCAAAUUGGCUUUCUGUACACUCACAUACGUAGACGGGAGCAAGAGGCUCCACCUUUGCGACGCAGCGAUUGGUUAUGUAAAUAAAGUCUUUUUUUCCUCCACUAUCUUUAUGCAGUUAUCUACUGUAUAGAUAAUUAAAUCAUCAAUCAAAGGGGCUGGGCUAUUUGAUGCUUUUGUUCAAAGCCAAUCGGCUUUCAGGGAACUGCUGAGUACAGAUGAGAGUAAAGAUGUUCAACAUCUGGAAUUCAGAAAUUUCCAAAGGCUGUAGAUUAUCGCGGGUCCCUGGGGAAACGGUCAAUGAACAACGGGCUGACUUUUGGACUGUCUUCCGUUGAUUAUUGUUCCUUCACGUUUUGCGAGCCGACCCUGGUAGGCGAGAACAGGAGCAUCCUAAAAACAGCAUGCCCACCCCACCACCUGAAAGGUGAUAAUACGCUACUCCUGCGGUCUCAGAGAGUGUGUUUGGGAGGGUGAAAGGAGGACCAUCCUCAGCACCUGGUUCAUUCCUCCAGACACAGUGUUAGUGUGAAGAUCCCGGCACAGGAACCCGAAGAACCCCAAGCAACGUCAGCAGGUAGCAGUGCGCUCACAGCAGUGCGCUCACAGCAGUGCGCUCACAGCAGUGCGCUCACAGCAGUGCGCUCACAGGCCCGCGAUGAAAGGGACCAGGCCACCUUGAGGCUCCUGUCAAAUGACGUCAUGUGAAAAAGCCGGGAAGCAAAUACCACCUCCGGCUGGCGAAGGUGAACGAUCAGGAAAAGAACAGCAAUUCUGAGGGGGAAAACUGAAAAAACAGAAAGAGACACGACGGAACAAGGGAGGGAGGGAGGGAGGGACCAGCGUAGCUUAGAGAGGGGAGACAGGCACGCGCUGCGUCUCCCGGGUAACAAGUCAAUGAUGGGCAGACGAACUGCGGUCGCAUUGAUUAGAGCAUUUUGUUGCAGCCAGUCACAAUUAAGUUUGACUGUGUCAUUCCUGCUGCUUAGGCAGGUUUAUUUUGACAGGGAAUAACAACAGCAGGAACAUGAUUCAGCUCCUGUUCAAAUCUGCCAUGUGGAGGCAAACAGGAACUCAGACGAAGGAAUCGUACGGCGGCAAGGCUCAGCACGCAGACACUCAUAAACAGCCGCUCAGCACACAGAGGCUGACACGCAGACAUUCACACGCAGGCGCACGCAGACGUUUGUCAUGCAGACACUAGCAUGUAGACUCUUGGCACACACACAGAUGCUAGGCACACAGAACCACACACACAGAUGGUCACACGCAGACACUCGACUUGCAGACGCAUACACGCGGCCGCUUGGCACGCACACAGAUGCACAACAUGCAGGCGCACACAGGCAGACACUCACAUGCAGAUGCUUGGCACGCAGACACUAGCCACACCGACGGUCAGUACACAGAUGCUCACACGCAGACACUCGGCACGCAGACGCUCACACACAGAUGCUCACACACACAUUCACACGCAGAUGCUGAGCGUGUCUGACACUGGAUAAGAUGCCACCUCAUAAUUGCACUCAAACACCCGAAACCUGCUAAACCUGCUAGCGCAAAGCUAAAGCACAAGUGGGCUGUUGAGUGGGGAUUAUCCACCAGGCUAUAUGAUAUCAGCUGUGGGGCCAUAUGAUCAAUAAAAUAAAACGUUACCAUCACUGCUUGACUCCGCCCAGAGUCAGAUAAGCGGCAUAGGAUGAGGGCAGACCGGAACAGAGGAUUCUCAGGUGCUCGCCGAUGUCAGGUGACAUUUACCUGCCAGUGCUCUGAUGGCAAGACCCUAAAGCCUUGUGAGACACAUAAACAGAUGCACCCAGGCAGGCAUGAGCCCCAGCAGGGUAAAUCCUCUCGAUGUGUGCAUCCCUGCAUGAGUGUUGAAAGCACACUAUAUCAGCCUCCAUUCCCAAUCCCUACACCUCAAUGUUUAAUUGGAUCCUUCCAUAAGCAGAGAGGCAGUAUUUACACACUUUACACAGCCCCCCAACUGCGUCACAGAGGACUCACAGGGACUCCCCAGUGCCUCGAGUGAGGGUGACAUCAUGCUGUUCAGGGAAAUGGCUGGAGGGUGGGGUUGAAGGGGGCGGGGUCAAUGGGGCAGUUUUGUUUCUUGCAUAUAACAAAUUCAGAUCACCCUACAGUAACCAGUAGAUCAGAUUUGACAUUUUUUCAUCAAUCAGGCCAGGUCAGGUUCCCAAACCAAAGGUUCCCUCGUCACAUGACCCUAUGCUUCUUCCUAAAGGCUCAUCCAGCAUCACGUGACACUCUCCUUCUUCCCAUAGGCUGGGCUCCUGUGAACGAGGAGUAGUCACCUGACCACAUCCACUCCUUACGCUCACAAGCAUGAUUUAAAUUUACUGACCAUAGGGGCACCCCCAGCAAAGUGAGCAUGCCCCCCCCCCCCCAGGUUUAUCAACAAUGACACUCACGCGCAGAGACACAAACACACUAGGCGGACUAGUACUUAUGGCCAGAAGACUGUGAGAUUGACCCUAUGGAAGGGGGGCAAAAAUACUAAACUACUACAGCAAAGUAACUCAAUGCAAAUGUCACAAAUGGAGGUAUCUGUACUUCAUACAGAUGUAUUUACAGGAUAAUCCAAACACAACUUUGUCUUACCUUUUAUUUGAGAGAGAGAAUGUUCUCUAUGAAUGGGGAGUCCUGUAAGGGGGUCGCACUUUGAAAAGUGAUCCUACACCAUGUACAGUGAGAGUCCAAGGGAUCUAUAAAUCAUCCCAUUCCCUCUGCCUCCAUGAAAUUCCUUCCAUUUUAUUUCCGGUGAUGUGAAGCAGAGUUCCUCAUUUUAGCCGCAGCAAGAAGACAGACCCCACAGUUGACUUGCACAACACCAGGGCCCAGGAUGAAUCUGGAGUGUGUGAUAGAUGCAUCAGUUAGUCUUUGGCAAGGUUGGAUAUACAGGUACCUAAACACCCCUCUGAGUCACCUGAUCUCCUAUUCACCUCCCCACCUCUUAUGAACCUUUAACAAAACCGUUUCACCUCCUGAUUUAUUUCAUUUCAUCUUUUAGCUACUCGAGAGCAACAAAUCAGUAAUCAUAGCUGACGGAAAAUGUAUUCAUAAUGAACGCCGUAUUAUUAAAAUCAAACAUUUUGAAUUGCGCUUUUUUUUCGCCAUCACAGUUCUUCUUAACAAUGAGUAAUUCAUUCAAUCAGCGCUGAGGACCAGGGAUGGGAGAGGUUUGAGGGUCCUCGACCCACACAGCAGAGCUUAGACCAUGACCAGGAACUAGCAGUGAUUAACCUCAUGCGUCACGGCAUUAGAGCAGGGAAAUGAUCUGUUUUCAGAGAGCUAAACAAAAAAUGCUCUUCCAUUUCCCAGUGAACAUAACUUAGUCACGCUGUCCUACAACUGACCUGUGUUAAUCGUGAUAUUCUUAUGUAUGAUUUUCAUACACCUCCACCGAAGGUCAAAUAUUUAAAUCUGUCUCAUUCUUCUGUGGUUCUUGUUUGUUCUUUUGCUGUAUUAUUUCACAAAAAUGCUUAUUUCACUACCCUGCACUGGCUGAGCAUUUACGGAGGAGAGUUGAAUGGAUUACAGCAGGAUGUGUGUACUGCAAAGACGUAUGUAACGUGUCUGACAGCCUUUAUCAAAACCAGCAGGUCAGACACAUUCAGUUCAUGGUCUGGGGUUUUCUCUUGCUUACAACCAUCCUCACGAUCAUGGUCUCCAUUGCAGAUCCCUCACCUCUGCUCGAGGUGUCCCAGGGUAGCCUCUGGAGUUGCAACCCUGAUAUUGAUUAAAGACGAAGAGAAUCUGUGCCUUCACCUCCCCUCCUGCUCCCUCUCCUAACAAAUAGGUGCUGGGCUCCUGCAGGCCGUCACGCUAAAUUUAGCUCUGAUCCCAUUCCGGGCUCUUCCACGCGCCCCACAGAUCUCGUGGCUUAUUGUCUGGGCCUCGGAAAUCUGUCGCCGCCGCUCUUGAAAGAGACGUUCUGGCACACGGGCCCUUGCCGGCGUAUUCCAGGGGCGAGGAGCUGCUCCUUCUGUCUUUGGGUUCCCCAGACAGCAGGAUUAGCGCUCCUGCUAAUGCGUUUGCCCUGGACACACUGAGUCAUGCCCUCCGCAUCGUCAGAGAAGCUGAAGACAAGUAGGAGAAUGAGGGAGCCCCCCCACUGAGCAAAGUGGACGAGUACAGUGCUAUCUGUCAGGUUUACAGUUCACAGGACCGAGGAAGAUUGGCCCAAACCUUCCGGAGCGAGGCGAAAGGCAGUCCCACAACACGCGGCUUGCCUGCCCCCACGCCCCCACCUCCCCAGCAUGAGGCUCACCUCCAGGACAGAUCUGGAGGCACCCUGCGUAAGGGCUUCCUGUCAGGUGAUAGGAGAUUCCAGCACUGACCAGUCACACCUUCUGACUGACGGUAACAAAGGCCCACAUUGUGCUAAGCGGCUUUUUACUCUUUGUCUGCCCCCCACCCCCGCCCCCCUACCUCCUUGUAGGAAUAACUGUGGCCUUUUGUUCCUUUAACGGUCUUCUCUGGAGAGAGAAGGAAACGGGGUCAGUCAGGGUCAGUCUGGGUGGGGGGGUGCAGCCUACACAGGAUGAUAGCGCGGGGGACACAGCUAUGUCCAACCUUGGAGACCAUGUCCACGACAGGCCCCCCCUCUGGCUUUAUUGAGAGCCAGAUGCAGGGCCUCCGGAGAACGAACGGUAAGCUGUUGUGCUUUAAGCCUAAUGGGGAAGUUCUACAUGCAGGGGCCUUGACCUGAUUAGUAUAAUUCCCUCCUUUAAUGCACAUCCCACGGGCUUAAGGUAAACCAAAUGUUGCCAUCAGAGAUUACACUCCCUCGCUAGUUAACAUCUACUGCUGGGAGGCAUCAACCGGACCACCACGCACCUGUCUGCGCUGCGUUCAGGACACGUGUACCUGCUUACCUGUCGGGUGGCGCCGUGCCUGGGCAGCCUGCCAGCUGUGGCAGGUGGCGAAAUACCCGCGCAUCCUGAGCAGCCGUCGGCUUUGUCUGAUCCUGGGCUCGGCGGUCUCUUCUAAUCCCAUUCCCGACCAUCCGGGCCCCGUCGAGCCGAGACGGACCAGACGAUGCGGAACUACGGAUAGUGCCCGUGCUUGUAAUGCCCCCGCCGGCGACUUGCUGGCCGCCACAUGGUCUUGGCUUGACAUCUCCAUCACCUACCUGUGUGAAGACCCAGCGUAUGGUUCCCUCUGCUGUGCCGUCCAAUUUUACCUAGGGUGCACUUCACCAAGGUGGUGAAGAUACCAGCCAAGAUCACUCUGAUACAGAACAGCAUGCAACGAGGAGUAGUGGGUGGCUUAGUGGGUUAGACUACUGUGCCUGUGAUCAGAAGGUCACUGGUUCAAAUCCCAGGGUUGGCCAAAGCAUUUCACCGUUGGGUCCCUGAGCAAGGCCCUUAACCCCCAGUUGCUCCAGAGACUGUCUGAUGCUGCCUUAUCAGGGCCACCUGUCCCUUUGGAUAAAAGCUAAGUAUAAAAGAAGAAAUGGGGGGUGGCCACAGAGUCGGUAAUUGAAAGCUUCACAGAGGCCAGCUAUAGUCUCACCGUUAUCCAUAGAUCCCCACACACCUCGUGUACUUUGCUUGAAUAUACCAGCUGGAUUUCAAGCAGGGUAAAGGUUAAUAACACUUGAGUCAGGCUGAUGACCAUUGUCUGGAUAGCAUUAAUUCUGAAGACUGACUUUACUGUAAAUCCCAUUAACUUAGCAAAGGCUAACACUCAAGCUGAGAACCCAUUAGGUCCAAUUUAAGAGUCUCCCAACUAACCUGCUGUCCGCAACCAGAAUCAUUUUGCAGCUAUUAUUAAACUGUUCACUCAUCAGAUUGACUUUUCUCUUAGUUUUUCUGGUAAUUUCUAAAGUAACAAUAAACGUUAAUGGCCGUUGAGCUGAUUAAAAAUGAGGAGUUAAAGAUGCACAGCUGAAUGAGUUUUCAAGAAAUUAUAACAGAUAAUGAAAUUAUUUAAAAAUCAGUUCCUUGAAAUAUACUUACUAAGACCAAAAUGUUCUGAGAUUUGCUUUUGUGAGGAUGUGAGUUCGCUUAAAUGUAAUCUUCUUAAAUGUUAAGCCUUUGUCAUCAAUUCAGCCAAAGCUAUGAUUUUGCUCCAGUGCAUUGUGGGAGAUUUCACAGAGGAGAAGUGCAAGGCAGGUCAUGCUUAACACAUCCAUGUACUGCUUUAUUCUUAAUUUUACUGGAGGUGCGAGCACAUAGGUUAGUCUACAGGGCGUUUCUUUGGGGGUCAGGCAACUCAGAAGAAUAAUUUCACUUUUCGUCACCCAUGGAAGUGCUAUUGUAGACACUACACCAUCUGAUGUUGAUGCUUGUUGGGUUUCUGAAGACCAAGACAUGGAGUUACCGACACAUUCUCUGUACCGACCUUCAGGGAUUUCUCGAAAAGCAUUUUUUGAGACGUGCCAGAUGCAGCACAUUUGGAAAAGUGUUUCGGGUUCCAGGCCACACAGAAAACCUCUAAACACUUAAUGGGUCGUUAUUUCAGCUUUUUCUGCUCUUUCAUUUGCUGAUGAAUACAAAUAAAUGGCCCUUAAUGGUGAAGAAAAAAACUUCUCUUGACUUUCCUUCCACCGUGACAGACCAUGCAGAGGUAGGCGGAGGAAUGGCAGGGUGACAAGCCCCUCUCAAAGCCCCAGCUGUAAUGUCGCCUGUAUACUUAUGUUCUGUUUGACAGUCCUGCAGCUGGGCAGCCAGGCAUUUCACUGCACACUGUACUGCGUAUAUGGUAUAUGUGACAAAUAAAACUUUGAUUAAUUGAUCGUCUAA